rnacentral:rRNA from 1 species
GACGAACGCUGGCGGCGUGCUUAACACAUGCAAGUCGAACGGAAAGGCCUCUUUCGGGGGGUACUCGAGUGGCGAACGGGUGAGUAACACGUGAGUAACCUGCCCUUGACUUUGGGAUAACUUCAGGAAACUGGGGCUAAUACCGGAUAGGAGCUCCUGCGGCAUGGUGGGGGUUGGAAAGUUUCGGCGGUUGGGGAUGGACUCGCGGCUUAUCAGCUUGUUGGUGGGGUAGUGGCUUACCAAGGCUUUGACGGGUAGCCGGCCUGGGCGGGUGACCGGCCACAUUGGGACUGAGAUACGGCCCAGACUCCUACGGGAGGCAGCAGUGGGGAAUAUUGCACAAUGGGUGGAAGCCUGAUGCAGCAACGCCGUGUGCGGGAUGACGGCCUUCGGGUUGUAAACCGCUUUCGCUCAUGACGAAGCUUUGUGUGACGGUAGUGGGUAAAGAAGCACCGGCUAACUACGUG